rnacentral:rRNA from 1 species
GACGAACGCUGGCGGCGUGCUUAACACAUGCAAGUCGAACGGAAAGGCCCUGCUUUUGUGGGGUGCUCGAGUGGCGAACGGGUGAGUAACACGUGAGUAACCUGCCCUUGACUUUGGGAUAACUUCAGGAAACUGGGGCUAAUACCGGAUAGGAGCUCCUGCUGCAUGGUGGGGGUUGGAAAGUUUCGGCGGUUGGGGAUGGAUUCGCGGCUUAUCAGCUUGUUGGUGGGGUAGUGGCUUACCAAGGCUUUGACGGGUAGCCGGCCUGGGAGGGGGACCGGCGACAUGGGGACUGAGAUACGGCCCAGACGCCUACGGGAGGCAGCAGUGGGGAAUAUUGCACAAUGGGCGGAAGCCUGAUGCAGCAGCGCCGCGUGCGGGAUGACGGCCUUCGGGUUGUAAACCGCUUUCGCCUGUAACGAAGCGGGAGUGACGGUAAUGGGUAAGAAAGCACCGGCUAACUACGUG